rnacentral:tRNA from 1 species
CGCAGCGUAGCUCAACUGGAUAGAGCCCUCGGUUUCUACAUACUCUCUGGCCGAGGAGGUGCAGGUUCGAAUCCUGCCGUUGCGU